rnacentral:rRNA from 1 species
GAUGAACGCUGGCGGCGUGCCUAAUACAUGCAAGUCGAGCGAACAGACGAGGAGCUUGCUCCUCUGACGUUAGCGGCGGACGGGUGAGUAACACGUGGAUAACCUACCUAUAAGACUGGGAUAACUUCGGGAAACCGGGGCUAAUACCGGAUAAUAUAUUGAACCGCAUGGUUCAAUAGUGAAAGACGGUUUUGCUGUCACUUAUAGAUUGAUCCGCGCCGCAUUAGCUAGUUGGUAAGGUAACGGCUUACCAAGGCAACGAUGCGUAGCCGACCUGAGAGGGUGAUCGGCCACACUGGAACUGAGACACGGUCCAGACUCCUACGGGAGGCAGCAGUAGGGAAUCUUCCGCAAUGGGCGAAAGCCUGACGGAGCAACGCCGCGUGAGUGAUGAAGGUCUUCGGAUCGUAAAACUCUGUUAUUAGGGAAGAACAAAUGUGUAAGUAACUAUGCACGUCUUGACGGUACCUAAUCAGAAAGCCACGGCUAACUACGUG